rnacentral:rRNA from 1 species
AACGAACGCUGGCGGCAUGCCUAACACAUGCAAGUCGAACGAGACCUUCGGGUCUAGUGGCGAACGGGUGCGUAACGCGUGGGAACCUGCCCUUAGGUUCGGAAUAACUCCCCGAAAGGGGUGCUAAUACCGGAUAAUGUCUUCGGACCAAAGAUUUAUCGCCCUUCGAUGGGCCCGCGUUGGAUUAGCUAGUUGGUAGGGUAAAAGCCUACCAAGGCGACGAUCCAUAGCUGGUCUGAGAGGAUGAUCCGCCACACUGGGACAGAGACACGUCCCAGACUCCUACGGGAGGCAGCAGUGGGGAAUAUUGGACGAUGGGCGAAAGCCUGAUCCAGCAAUGCCGCGUGAGUGAUGAAGGCCUGAGGGUUGUAAAGCUCUUUUACCCGGGAUGAUAAUGACAGUACCGGGAGAAUAAGCACCGGCUAACUCCGUG